rnacentral:tRNA from 2 species
GAGGCCGUGGUGGAAUCGGCAGACACGCUACUUUGAGGGGGUAGUGGGCAUAGCCCGUGUGAGUUCAAGUCUCAUCGGCCUCACCA